GAGUCUCCAGGGCCUAAGCAGAUGUCUGGUCACCACAACGGAAACUGAGAAGGAUUGCAGUUAGGAGCCACAGUGACCUGUGGUCUCUAGUCCGGAUGGCCCUGUGGGGAGCACUCGAGGAAGAAGAGGCUGACCGGCCCAAAGAGAUUUGCAGUUGAUGAUGUGCUGGCCAACUAAGUCCCAACACCCACGAAACUAUAAAAUGCAAAAGCACAAAGGCUUGGGGAAGAUGGCAAGUUAUAACAGAAUAAAGAAAGAUAUCAGGAGGAACAACUCCAGUUCCAGGAUCUUUUUCCAGAUAUUAGCUGGCAGUUCACCCCUCCUUCCACCUGUAGUACCAGCCAUUCAUGCCACUAUCCUGCCAACAGACUAUAGACACAAACUCAGUAUCCUGCCACAGUGUGCAUGAAAUGGAGGAAGGAUGGGCAUGGUGAGACGCCAGGGGUACACCAAACUGAGAAGCCGAAGUCCAAGGCCCCCGUCUUCAUUCUGUCAGGAACUCGCUUCUCUGGUCUCAUUGGCUUUAUCUGUGAAACAGUGGGCUGACUAGACAGUCACUAUCACCCUGGCAUCGUGUCCUAUGGGUCUGUGAGAUUCUUUUGGGGGUGGGCACAUAUAAAGGUUCUUAGUGGAGAAAAAGGCCUCCACGUCUAAAGAC
ensembl:lncRNA